GCAGCCACACAGACACACGGUCUCUGUCCUCCUGCCUGUCGGGCCGCUGAUGCCUGAGAGGUGUGUCUCCUCCACUCCACAGGAGCUGACUGUCAGCAGCUGCAUUCCGCUUCUGGAAUGAACCCCCUGCUCCAGCCUCCAUCGCUGCACUGUGUUUGUAUCCCUCGGAGAUUUUUACGUCAUAUUUGAGUCCAAAGUGUCUUUUCCAGUUUUCUCCUUCCGUGUUUCAUACACCGUCCUCUGGGUGCAGAGCCAAAGGGCCCUCACUGCGUUGGAUGCUGUGCGCGCAUGGUGCUGAGGGCAGGUGUUGGCCCAGUCUGCUGCAUUAGUGAGAAUCUUCUCCAGAAUCUUUCACAGACACACCUAGAGAUAAUGUACUAGCUCUCUGGGCACCCCUUCAUCCAGAGCUAAGUGGCAGGAGAGCUGAAGGGAGAGUCAGAAAGUGACCCCGGUGCCAGCUUUAUUCCUCACGUGCAUGCAGCAGCAAGGUCUCCCCAGCAAUGGGCCUGGACAUAGGAGGACCUCCUCCCUUGUAGGCCUGCUGAUGGCUUGGGCCUGGGAGUGGAGAAGCAUGCAUGAUCCUCUGUCCACCCCACUUCCAAGGGAAGGUGAAGAAGGGCCAAGGCAAUGGAAAGCCUGCUGGACAAGGUCUUGGACUGAGAGGUAUAUCAUGUCUUAGGAAUGGAGUCUGGAAGGGGAAAAUCAUGACUUCCAUGGAGAAACUGGCUGAAACCACUUGACCAAGUAAUGAGGAUUGACAUGACUGUUGGUGUUGUGUGGAGGUCACUCACCUAUGGUGUGUGCUGAUGAGGUGGUCAUUUCACCCUGUCCUUCCCCCAAAUCCAUCACCUCUGUCUAACGAGGAAACAUCAGGAAGCCCAUACAGGAUGCUCUACAGGAUCCUUGACCUAUUCCCCCAGACUGUCUGGUCACAAACCACGAGGAGGCAACAGGACGCUGGAGAGACAUAGCAGCUGCAUAUGCUGACAUAUGAACUUCCUUUGAAGCAAGUUCACCGAAUCCUGACGUGUUACUGCUAAUUACCCAAGAGGAUGGAAAUGCACUCUCUUUACCUGGGGUCUGGUGGGUCCUUAGCCAAGGGGGCAUUACUGCAGAUUCUUUUGGCCAGGCUGAAGUUUAAGAUAAAAGCUGAUAGCAAUAAUCUCAUUGUACAGGCAGCUAACACACAAUGAGGUUGGUAAGAGCAGAUGUAUGGAUUCAAUAAAA